rnacentral:rRNA from 1 species
UACAGAGGUCCCAAGCGUUGUUCGGAUUCACUGGGCGUAAAGGGUGCGUAGGUGGUGAGGUAAGUCGGAUGUGAAAGCUCGGAGCUCAACUCCGAAAUGGCAUUGGAAACUACCUUGCUCGAGGGUUGGAGGGGGGACUGGAAUGCUUGGUGUAGCAGUGAAAUGCGUAGAUAUCAAGCGGAACACCAGUGGCGAAGGCGAGUCCCUGGACAACUCCUGACACUGAGGAGCGAAAGCGUGGGGAGCGAACAGG